GAACGAUGAUCAGGAGCUUGCUCCUGUGAUUAGUGGCGAACGGGUGAGUAACACGUGAGUAACCUGCCCCUGACUCUGGGAUAAGCGUUGGAAACGACGUCUAAUACUGGAUAUGAUCACUGGCCGCAUGGUCUGGUGGUGGAAAGAUUUUUUGGUUGGGGAUGGACUCGCGGCCUAUCAGCUUGUUGGUGAGGUAAUGGCUCACCAAGGCGACGACGGGUAGCCGGCCUGAGAGGGUGACCGGCCACACUGGGACUGAGACACGGCCCAGACUCCUACGGGAGGCAGCAGUGGGGAAUAUUGCACAAUGGGCGAAAGCCUGAUGCAGCAACGCCGCGUGAGGGAUGACGGCCUUCGGGUUGUAAACCUCUUUUAGUAGGGAAGAAGCGAAAGUGACGGUACCUGCAGAAAAAGCACCGGCUAACUACGUGCCAGCAGCCGCGGUAAUACGUAGGGUGCAAGCGUUGUCCGGAAUUAUUGGGCGUAAAGAGCUCGUAGGCGGUUUGUCGCGUCUGCUGUGAAAUCCCGAGGCUCAACCUCGGGCUUGCAGUGGGUACGGGCAGACUAGAGUGCGGUAGGGGAGAU
rnacentral:rRNA from 1 species